GAUAAAAUUGUUAUACGGGAGAACGUGAACCCGGAAGCACUUGUUAGGCCCUGGUUCUAGAAGAGUUGAGAAUAUUCUUCUUCCCUCUGGAAAGAACUGGUGGAGAUCACGGUGCCAACUGUGGGCGGGGCAUUCAUCAGCUGACGGCAGCGUUUUAACAAUCAGCUUUUGUGUCCUGCUACCACAGAAUCGGGCGUGGAAGAUUCAGAAAAACUCAAUUUGGUGAGUCAGAAGAGGAAA